GACGAACGCUGGCGGCGUGCUUAACACAUGCAAGUCGAACGGAAAGGCCCUGCUUUUGUGGGGUGCUCGAGUGGCGAACGGGUGAGUAACACGUGAGUAACCUGCCCUUGACUUUGGGAUAACUUCAGGAAACUGGGGCUAAUACCGGAUAGGAGCUCCUGCUGCAUGGUGGGGGUUGGAAAGUUUCGGCGGUUGGGGCUGGACUCGCGGCUUAUCAGCUUGUUGGUGGGGUAGUGGCUUACCAAGGCUUUGACGGGUAGCCGGCCUGAGAGGGUGACCGGCCACAUUGGGACUGAGAUACGGCCCAGACUCCUACGGGAGGCAGCGGUGGGGAAUAUUGCACAAUGGGCGGAAGCCUGAUGCAGCAACGCCGCGUGCGGGAUGACGGCCUUCGGGUUGUAAACCGCUUUCGCCUGUGACGAAGCGUGAGUGACGGUAAUGGGUAAAGAAGCACCGGCUAACUACGUG
rnacentral:rRNA from 1 species